rnacentral:rRNA from 1 species
GACGAACGCUGGCGGCGUGCUUAACACAUGCAAGUCGAACGGAGCGGCGAAGGGGUGAGUAACGCGUGAGUAACUACCCCCCUCUCUGUGAUAACAGUUCGAAACGGCUGCUCAUAUCGGAUAGUGGGGGAUGAUUCGCGGUCUAUCUGCGUGUUGGGGGGGUAUUGGCCUACCAAGGCGAGGACGGGUAGCCGGCCUGGGAGUGCGACCCGCCACAUAGGGCUGAGGUGCGACCCAAACGCAUACGUGAGGCAGCGGUGGAGAAUAUUGCACAAUGGGGGAAACCCUGAUGCAGCAAUUCGGGUGCGAAAUGUCGGUCUUCGGGUUGUAAUCCGCUUUCAGCCAAGACGCGGUAGUGGCAGAAGAAGCACCGGCUAACUACGUGCCAGCAGCCGCGGUAAUAC